rnacentral:rRNA from 1 species
UAACGCGUGAGGAACCUGCUUCCANAGGGGGACAACAGUUGGAAACGACUGCUAAUACCGCAUGAUGCGUUGGAGCCGCAUGACUCUGACGUCAAAGAUUUAUCGCUGGAAGAUGGCCUCGCGUCUGAUUAGCUAGUUGGUGAGGUAACGGCCCACCAAGGCGACGAUCAGUAGCCGGACUGAGAGGUUGGCCGGCCACAUUGGGACUGAGAUACGGCCCAGACUCCUACGGAAGGCAGCAG